rnacentral:misc_RNA from 1 species
GAUGAAGAACGCAGCGAAAUGCGAUAAGUAAUGUGAAUUGCAGAAUUCAGUGAAUCAUCGAAUCUUUGAACGCACAUUGCGCCCUCUGGUAUUCCGGGGGGCAUGCCUGUUCGAGCGUCAUUAUAACCACUCAAGCUCUCGCUUGGUAUUGGGGUUCGCGGUUCCGCGGCCCCUAAAAUCAGUGGCGGUGCCUGUCGGCUCUACGCGUAGUAAUACUCCUCGCGAUUGAGUCCGGUAGGUCUACUUGCCAGCAAACCCCAAUUUUUACGAGUUGACCUCGGAUCAGGUAGGGAUACCAGCUGAACUUAAGCAUAUCAAUAAGCGGAGGA